GGAGGAAAAGAAACUAACAAGGAUUCCCCUAGUAACUGCGAGUGAAGCGGGAAAAGCUCAAAUUUAAAAUCUGGUAGUCUCUGGCUGCCCGAGUUGUAAUCUAGAGAAGCAUUAUCCGCGCUGGACCGUGUAUAAGUGUUCUGGAAUGAACCAUCAUAGAGGGUGAGAAUCCCGUCUUUGACACGGACUACCAGGGCUUUGUGAUGUGCUCUCAAAGAGUCGAGUUGUUUGGGAAUGCAGCUCUAAAUGGGUGGUAAAUUCCAUCUAAAGCUAAAUAUUGGCGAGAGACCGAUAGCGAACAAGUACCGUGAGGGAAAGAUGAAAAGAACUUUGGAAAGAGAGUUAAACAGUACGUGAAAUUGCUGAAAGGGAAACGCUUGAAGUCAGUCGCGUUGGCUGGGGAUCAACCUUGCUUUUGCUUGGCUUACUUCCCAGUCGACGGGUCAGCAUCAGUUUUGACCGGUGGAUAAAGGCUAGGGGAAUGUGGCACCUACGGGUGUGUUAUAGCCCUUGGUCAUAUACACUGGUUGGGACUGA
rnacentral:rRNA from 1 species